rnacentral:lncRNA from 1 species
UCGAAGGUUCCAUGUUCAAUUCUCCUAAUGAAAGGAUUGGAUGUGAAGGAAGGCCUAUCUCAUUAAGGAUUCUCGAAGCAAGCCCAAACAGAUAGUUCUUGAUUGCAUCUCUCCUACUAACUAUAGUUUAUGAGAGAAAUAAUUGCUUUUUCAUGCAUCAAAAUUCCUUGAAAUGUUGAGUAAAUUACCCAAAUGGUCAUUGAACUUUGCAAAAAAAAAUUCAUAGGAUCACUGAACUUUAAAAAUCAUCCAAUUCAUCACUGAGUUUUUCAAAAGAUUUCCACAAGAUAACUGAACUUUAAAAAUUACCACAUUCAUCACUAAACUUUGCAAAAGAUUUCUACUAAAUCACUGAACUUUGCAAAAAGUUCCCCAAAGAUCACUAAAUUUAGUGACCCCUGAGAUACUUUUGUCAAGUUCAAUGGUAAAUUAGGCUAUUUUUAAAGUUCAGUAACCUCCUAAAUUUUUUUUGCAAAGUUCA